GACGUAACUGGGCAUGCGCACAGGUUACCUGUUCUGGAGGUCGUAACAGGGGAGUGCGGCGGGGUGGUGGCUUACCCCUCACAACUUGCACCAGGUCCUGCCACCGAAUGACAUUCGUGUUCUCUUGGGAGUUGUAGUUUCUGGGAGCCUUCUCUCCCUUGUCCUUGAAUGACCUCGGUAGCUUCCCUAGCUAUUGGCCGAGCAACGGCCAGGACUGACCUCUAAAUGCAGGUAACUUAGGGGCAGCCCUGAAUCAACAAGCUGUCCUGUGACCUUGGUUCGGGCCACUGCUGAUAAUGAGCCAUCCAAGAUUUAACAAGCUGGCCAAGGAGCAGUCAUGGACUAUGUGGUGUGAUUGGACUGACAAGGUCUCUGGAGGUCUGUGUUCCCAUUAGCCUGAGAGCACCUGGAGAGCUGACUCACACCAAGAUGCCCAGCACUUAGCAGAGAGCCUUGCAAUAGAAGCUGCUCAAUAAGUACCUGUGGAAUAAAUGAAUAAAUAAUGUGGAGGAGAGAGGCAGCUCCAUCUCUAUGAGGUUGUUUACUGUUGCAUUGUUUGCAAGAACGAAAAAUGGGCCCAGCUGUGAUGUUCAGCACCAGGGACCUGGUUCCACGGACAACGGCAUGAUGCACAGCUGGACAAAUGAAGGAGGAAGGUCUCCCUGUGCUGACUUGGGAAGAACUCUGGGACUUACCGCACACAAUCAGCUCUCGGAGGACAAGCUCCGCGUGUCCUGUUCACUGCGGUGACCCCCACACCCUCGCACCCCUGUGCCUGAUGCAGAGCUGGCCCUCGGUGAACAUCUGCUGGAGAUCCUGCCUCCAAUAUUCUUGCCUCCGUGUCAAGCAUCACCCACGUGGUAAGGAACUGAGGACUGCCACCAACCAUGUAAGAGAGACUGAAAGCCGGUCCCCCACCCCUUGUCAAAACUUAGAGGACUGGAGCACCUGCCAACAGCUUGUUUUCGGCCUCAUGGGAGACUGAACCAGGACCACCCAGGGCUUUGCUGACUCAGCAGUCAGGGUUCUAACAGAAACCGAAACCCCGGAGUUAGGAUAACUCAGGAAGGCUCAUAAGAGGGUAAGUACAAAAGCGAGGGUGGGUUUUGGGACCAUGAGGCGCAGGAAGACAAGGAAGAUACAGCAGCAGCUGAGCAGGUCCCACCUGGGGGCCAGAGAGACAGGUGAGGGAAAGUCACAGAGGCCAGAAAGAGAGAACCAUGCAGAGUGAGUCCUUCCACAGGGGCGAGGAGUGAGCUGUGGAUAAGGGUCACAGCACACCCGAGGCAACCCCUGCCCCCUCCUUUGAGUUCCCUGCCCAUCUCACCUUUGACCAAACCCAUCCUGAGGCCAAGGGGUGGAGCUGCCUGGAGGGCAGCCUCUGGAAGCAGAAUGAGAAGGCAGCGGCUUGGGAAUGUGGAAGAGCCAGUGUAAAUUACCCGCAGCCCCUGGAUUCCAAAGCUUAGCAGGAUCUCCUCCCCCUUGCCCCUCUGAUGAACCAUCCAUAGCUCUUCUUCUCCAGCUCGUUCUUCACUGUGGCCACCUACCAAGACCGCACCUUCCCAAGGCUCCCUGUCUUGCAUUCACAGACUUACCUGUCACCACCCCACGUGAUUCCUGAGAACGGGCUCCUAGCUCUGACCUAAUCCAUCUGCCUGAUGGAUGACUUGACCCAGAUGGUUCCUGGUACUACGAGAUAAACAGAUCCCACACCAACCCCACCUCCCACGUCCUCAGUUCUGACGGGCUGCUCCUCCUCCUGACUGAUACUACUUCUGGUGACAGCACCAUCACCCCUGAUCACUGAGCGUUGCAGGCUGAGGCAUGUGCUCCUAUGCCUUUGCCUUCUUUUCCUUGCCCUCCAUCGGUUGCAGAGUCCUGUGCCCUUUCUUUCCAGGUGCAUCCAAUGUCGGGACUGUCCCCAGGGGCCUUUACCUGGACUGCGGUGAUAAAUUCCUAACAGCCACCCUGGAUCCAAUCCAGUCCAAUGCACACAUACCUGUGUUUAUUGCACCAAGUCCUCUCACUGAAACAGCCGUAGUUUUCAAGGAGGCCUCGAACCUCCUUGAAACAGGACAUUUGAGGGGAGGGAACACUUUAUAAGGUCAACCUGCCCAAGCAGGGCACACAGCACUUCCCCCUCCUUCUGCGUUUGUCAGUCUGGGGCCCAGAGAAACCCCGGGUCCACACAACCUGCCUGCACACCCAGGGCUCUAUAAAAAGCCUCUGAUGACUCUGCCUGACUUUCCCAGUUAGCAGAGCCCGGAACACAGGGUGUUCCCAGGUCAACUUUUCAGGCCUUUGUCCCGAGACAGCGCUAUCUCCAGGCUCUUCUUCACCUCAAGUCAAUGUUCUGGAGGACGACAGCUCGUGAAUGUCCUCGGUAGUGUCCUUGCACAGAGUUUCCGUUGCCUGAGUUGGUCUUCUCUCUGUCCCACACUCCCCAAGCUCUACCUGUGAAACACCUGUUGCCUUUCAGAGCAGGUGCCAUGGCACCUGCCGCUUCCUUGAAAUCGCUUUGAUCAAGUCCUCUACAAAGCCUUUUUGGACUCACCCCAACCAAACGCCAUCUCUUUCCUUUAAGUCUCUAAAAAACAAAAUAAAGCAAAACAAACAAACAAGCAAACAAACAAACAAACAAACACCUUUCAGCACUGUUAUUUUACCCCGGUCUGUCCAGUACUUGUAUUACCCUGCUCAUGGUU